UCCUGAGUGCUGAGAUUAAAGGC
rnacentral:piRNA from 1 species